AUGACCUAAGGAACCAUAGUAUCCGCCCCGCCAUGAUCGUUCCUCAUUUUUUCGUUUUUCGGCCAAACAACUAGAAUUCCGCGCGAUUCCCAUAUUUUUGUGUGUUAUAGCCCACGCCUUCCGAGUGGUCCCGGGACCUCCGGACCCCUAUCGCCUAAUAUUUUUUCGGACUAUCAAAUAAGACCAAAGGAACCAUAGUCACCGCCCUGUCAAGAUCUUUCCACAUUUUUUGCAUGUUACUGAAAAAGACCUAGAAUUUCGCCCGAUUCCCAUAUUUUCGUGUGCUAUAGCCCACGCAUUCUGAGUGGUCCCGGGACCUCCUGACCUCUAUCGCCUAAAAUAUUUCCGGACUAUCAAAUACGACCUAAGGAACCAUAGUAUCUGCCCAGCCAUGAUCAUUCCUCAUUUGUUGCGUUUUUCGGCCAAAAAACUAGAAUUACGCCCGUUUCCCAUAUUUUCGUGUGCUAUACCCAUGCCUUCCAAGUGGUCUGGGGAGCCGCGGACCCCGAUCGCCUAAAAUUUUUUCGGACUAUCAAAUACGACCUAAGGUACCAUAGUCACCACCCUACCAUGAUCGUUCCAAUUGCUUUGCAAUUUUUGGCUAAAAAACUAGAACUCCGCGCGAUUUGCAUAUUUUAGUGUGCUAUAUAGCUUACGCUUUCUGAGUGGUC
rnacentral:lncRNA from 1 species